UUGUUUUUUUUUUUAUUUGUGCCACAGUGGAUAGCGUUUAUCAUGGCGAUGGAGGUUGGGAACGAAGAUUCGCGAUUGCUCCUUUGACAUGUCAAUGGUAUAUAAGCCGCUUGCUAAUUUUUUGUGUCAACAUAUCGCGUGCUCCAUCUGACUGUGCUUGGUGCCUUGUCUUAAAUAAAACUCAGCAAAACCGAAAAAGCUUGUGUCCAGCCGCACAUCCUUAUCGGUAAAAAAAAAAA